rnacentral:lncRNA from 1 species
GAGGAGAAACACAGGUGGAAAAGGAGGGGACUAUGCUCCAGCUCAAAGCAGCAACAGUGUCCACAGCUGGGACUCCUCUCAGGAGACUUGAAAAGAGUUUCUCUUGGUGAAAAGCACUCCAGGGCUUGACUUUCAUACAAAAUUUCACUGGAAAAUACAGAUGUCUCUUCUGCGCGUGAAAACGGGGGUACGGACGUCAAAGCUGCCUCCCGUUAUUUACUGGUCGUUUGGCGGUGGCUUCCUUUGGUUUGUCUUGGUUUGCUUUUGAGGCAGGGUCUCUCUCUGUAGCUCUGACUGUCCUGGAGGUCACUCUGUGGACAAUGUCAAGGCACCUGUCUCUGCCUUCCGAGUGUUGGGGUUAAAGGCAUGAGCCACUAUACCUGCCUAGUAAGUAUCUCAUUUUAAUUGUCCUGUGGGGACAGCAGUGACUGCAGUGAGGUCUCUGCCACUUAUGUUGUUGGUGAAGUACGUGAUCCCACUUUGUGUAACCUAGGGGUCUUGUUUAUGAGGAGCCCCACACAGUUGGCUCUCAGCAUCAGUUAUAUAUGUAUGUAUGCAUGCAUGUAUGUAUGUAUGUAUGUAUGCAUGCAUGCACUUACUCAAUGUAAAAUUAUCUAUUUAUUUAAUGUAUGUGGGUAUUUUGACCCCAUGUGUAUCUGUGCACUACCUUUCUGCCUAGUGUCUGGAGAGGGAGGAGGAUCCUCUGGAACUGGAGUUACAGUUGUGAGCUGUUGUGUAGGUGCUGGGAUGUAACCCCAGGCCUCUGGCAGAGCAGCUGGAGCUCCUACCCACGAUCCCACCCCUCAGCCCCUUCAGCAUCAGUUCUUUACACACCUAAUGACAAGGCUGUCAUCAGCAUCCCUGUGAAUUCUGCUCUGUCCGCAGGAAACCUACAACUGUGUUCUCAGGCUGUCACAAGAGCUCUGGUGAACAGCCUUCUAAACAAACUUUACACGCUAUAAUGUGAUUUUUUUUUAAACAUCAGUAUUUUAACCACGAUUUCAUUAUAAAAUGGACAUUGUCCUUAAAUAAACUUUGAUUUUUUAAAAU